rnacentral:rRNA from 1 species
AUACGGAGGGGGUUAGCGUUGUUCGGAAUUACUGGGGGUAAAGCGCACGUAGGCGGACUGGAAAGUUGGGGGUGAAAUCCCGGGGCUCAACCCCGGAACUGCCUCCAAAACUUCCAAUCUAGAGAUCGAGAGAGGUGAGUGGAAUUCCAAGUGUAGAGGUGAAAUUCGUAGAUAUUUGGAGGAACACCAGUGGCGAAGGCGGCUCACUGGCUCGAUACUGACGCUGAGGUGCGAAAGCGUGGGGAGCAAACAGGAUUAGAAACCCCGGUAGUCC